rnacentral:rRNA from 1 species
UACGUAGGGUGCAAGCGUUAAUCGGAAUUACUGGGCGUAAAGCGCGCGCAGGCGGUUUUGUAAGCCAGAUGUGAAAGCCCCGGGCUCAACCUGGGAACUGCAUCCGAGACUGACUUGCUAGAGUAUGGGAGAGGGAAGCGGAAUUUCUGGUGUAGCAGUGAAAUGCGUAGAUAUCAGAAGGAACAUCAGUGGCGAAGGCGGCUUCCUGGACCAAUACUGACGAUCAGGUGCGAAAGCGUGGGGAGCAAACAGGAUUAGAACCGUACGGUC